rnacentral:rRNA from 1 species
AAACUCAAAGGAAUUGACGGGGCCCGCACAAGCGGUGGAGCAUGUGGUUUAAUUCGAAGCAACGCGAAGAACCUUACCAGGUCUUGACAUCCCGAUGCUAUUUCUAGAGAUAGAAAGUUACUUCGGUACAUCGGUGACAGGUGGUGCAUGGUUGUCGUCAGCUCGUGUCGUGAGAUGUUGGGUUAAGUCCCGCAACGAGCGCAACCCUUAUCAUUAGUUGCUACGCAAGGGCACUCUAAUGAGACUGCCGGUGACAAACCGGAGGAAGGUGGGGAUGACGUCAAGUCCUCAUGGCCCUUAUGGGUAGGGCUACACACGUGCUACAAUGGCCGGUACAAAGAGUUGCGAUACCGCGAGGUGGAGCUAAUCUCAUAAAGCCGGUCUCAGUUCGGAUUGGAGUCUGCAACUCGACUCCAUGAAGUUGGAAUCGCUAGUAAUCGCGGAUCAGCACGCCGCGGUGAAUACGUUCCCGGGCCUU